rnacentral:rRNA from 1 species
UACGGAGGGAGCUAGCGUUGUUCGGAAUUACUGGGCGUAAAGGGUUCGUAGGUGGCCUGCUAAGUCGGACGUGAAAUCCCUCGGCUCAACCGGGGAACUGCGUCCGAUACUGGUGGGCUCGAGUGCAGGAGAGGAACGCGGAAUUCCAGGUGUAGCGGUGAAAUGCGUAGAUAUCUGGAGGAACACCGGUGGCGAAGGCGGCGUUCUGGACUGCAACUGACACUGAGGAACGAAAGCCAGGGGAGCAAACGGG